UACGGCCAAAUCAUGUUGAAACAGCGAUUCCCAUACAAUCACCAAAGUUAAACAACAUCCAGCCCGGUCAUUACCUGGAUGGGUGGUCACUUGGGAAUACCAGGUGCUGUAAU